AAUGAACGCCGGCGGCGCGCCUAAUACAUGCAAGUCGAGCGAGAAGACGUAGCAAUACGUUUGUAAAGCGGCGAACGGGUGAGGAAUACAUGGGUAACCUACCCUAGAGUGGGAAUAACUAGCCGAAAGGUUAGCUAAUACCGCGUACGCUCCUUGGACUUCGGUUCAGGGAGGAAAGCGAUACCGAGGUAUCGCGCUCUUGGAUGGGCUCAUGUCCUAUCAGCUUGUUGGUGAGGAACGGCUCACCAAGGCUUCGACGGGUAGCUGGUCUGAGAGGACGAUCAGCCACACUGGCACUGCGACACGGGCCAGACUCCUACGGGAGGCAGCAGUAAGGAAUAUUGCGCAAAUGGGCGAAAGCCUGACGCAGCGACGCCGCGUGGGGGAUGAAGGUCUU
rnacentral:rRNA from 1 species